UGAGGAAUAUUGGGCAAUGGGCGCAAGCCUGACCCAGCCAUGCCGCGUGCAGGACGACGGCCCUAUGGGUUGUAAACUGCUUUUAUUAGGAAAGAAACCCCCGAUCGUGAUCGGGGUUGACGGUACCUAAGGAAUAAGGAUCGGCUAACUCCGUGCCAGCAGCCGCGGUAAUACGGAGGAUCCAAGCGUUAUCCGGAUUUAUUGGGUUUAAAGGGUGCGUAGGCGGAAUAAUAAGUCAGUGGUGAAAUCUUCCGGCUCAACUGGGAAACUGCCAUUGAUACUGUUGUGCUUGAGUAUAUUUGAGGUGGGCGGAAUGUGUCAUGUAGCGGUGAAAUGCUUAGAUAUGACACAGAACGCCGAUUGCGUAGGCAGCUCACUAAACUAUAACUGACGCUGAGGCACGAAAGCGUGGGGAUCAAACA
rnacentral:rRNA from 1 species